CACUUCAAAGAAUGGAUUGCAAUUAACGAAGAUUAUAAUCGCUUGUGCCUAUUUUGCGACUAUUUAGACGAUAAAAUUUCGUGGCUGAUUUUAAUCUCGUUCUUCAACAAUUUUUAUUUCAUUAUUUUUCAAGUCCAUCUUAGUCUAAAUCUUGUUCUGGCGCCGCCUUUGGAAAUUAUUUAUUAUUUGAUUUCCUCAAGUUUACUCAUUCUCAGAAUGGUGUCUGUUUGUAUUUAUGCAAAUCGAGUCCAUGAAGAAAGUAAAUCACCAAUGGAUAUUCUUUCAGUUGCGCCUUUAGAAAUCUACAACCAGGAGAACAUCAGACUUAUUGUUACUGCAAAGUAUCAAACUACCGGACUUACGGCGCGAAAAAUGUUUCUUCUUACAAAAAAUCUUAUUUUUGCCAUUGCUGGAGCGGUGCUCGCUUAUGAAUUAAUAGUGAUACAACUUAAUAAAAAUCAGCCAAGGAAGCAGGGACCAUCAAUUUACUCACUGUGUUAAAAUAUUAAAAACAAAAAAAAUUUAAUAAACGUGUAGUAAUUUUACAAACACCAUAAUAAAGUCAAUUGAAUUCA